rnacentral:lncRNA from 1 species
UGGAUCCUAACGGAUCUUUAAUAACAACCGUCCGAUUUCCAACGGUAAAAAAAAAAAACUGAUUUAAUAUCAACCGUUCGAUCUGAGAUCAACGGUUGAUAUUAAUCUGCUUUAUAAAUUAAAAAAAAAAGAAAAAAUAGUUUUAAAAUUAAGAAAAGUUACCGUUGUGACACGUGGCACAAUCUGGAGUGUUGGAAUUCAAAAUUUUUAAAUCCAACGGUAGAGAUUAAUUAUUUGAAUAAAAAAUUAAAAAAAAAUGUAAAAAAUAUGAAAAAAAAAUUGUAAAAAUUUGUUUUUACUUUUCUAUAAAUACCACUUCUUCUCCAUCUACCUUACACCACAAUUUCAUAUUUUCUCAACUACUUUCAAUUAAAUUCCUAUCUUUCUCUCAAAGUUUCAAUCCAAUUUUUUUCCACAAAAUGGCUACUGAUGCAGGUUCGAAUUGGUCGCUUCUUGAAGAUGUUGCGUUGUGCACUAGCU